AAUUAAUUAGCUUAUAAAAAGCAAGUAUUUUGAAAAUACUAGAAAGAUUUAAGAAUUUAUUAAUUU